AUGAACCAGUGAUUUUUUGAUUGCUGAUUCCAAGAGAGUCUUUGUGGAAAUCCUGUUUGGCUUUUUGUUAUUUUAAUUCUCUUUUCUGUUUUCCAGAACAGUUCUCCACAGUCACUGUCCACAUGGGUCAGUGGGACCAAGAAGCACUGUGCUAAUGUGUGGACUCUGACCAGCAACAUCCAGCAAAACCCAGACAGCGUUUUCUAUCUCCCAGCUGGAGUUUUUUUGUUUGUCUGUGACUGGAGAGUCAGAUUUUUGUUGAGCUUCACACUUGCAGAGUCUUUUUGCAGGAUCAGAAAACAAAACCAGGAGGCGCGUAAAUGUUUCUUCUCCAUGAUGUUUCUUCAAAUGUUUCUUCUGGAUGAUGAUAAGACCAUGACACGGGAUGCCACCUUUGGUCUUGUGAUGAAGCAAAGCUCAGGAAGAAGUGUGAUUAAAUGGUACCCACAUGUGUGCUGCUGAGAAGGAUGUACAGGGGCACCUGCAGCCAAAUCCAAGCCAACUCAGAUGGUGACGGUGUGGAGAGACGGUGGUGUUUCCUCAGAAGAACCAGCAGAGUCACAAAGGACACCAGUCCAUCUCACCACCUUGACUUGCUGACUGAUGCUCGUCUGCACUGCACAGAGGAAAUCAACUGACCGAGGAGUGUUUCUGAGUGAGGGAGAGAGGAGUCAUCAUCCAGGUAAUGUGACGUGGAUCAGUGGAUACACUUGUCUCCCCUUUAAAGGAGACACUCUUAGAGAGAGACGAUCAGAGUCAUCCUUAAAUAUGGGCAGGAUAUCAGUCUUGGACUGUCUAACCUGCAGGAGCAGCAUUGAAUGACCACCACACAUGAGCAUGUUCCUGCAACAUUCAGCAUCUGAUCCUUCAUCUGUGUGCUUCUGCUUUUGUGUCAAAUGUCAAACAGCUGGAGAGGAAACUGAACCAGUGUACUGGGAUGUUUCUUCAACAUGUGCCAGAUGCUGUUCCUUCAUGGUGACAUCACCAGAGACAGCCCCGCCCACUUCAGGACCCAUUGAUCAUGAUGAUUAUAAUGAUGACAGCGAGCGGAACUAAGACUGUAAAAAUCCACAACCAGAAUGUUUAGAUGCUUUCUAAUUAUUAAUGAAUACUGAGUUUUUGUCUCUCUUUUUUUUUUUUUACCUCAUUUGUUACUAACAAAGUUCACCAAACUCACACAGUUUACAUUCUGUAUGUUUCCAUCAAGGUUUAUUUUCUUAGAAAUCAUCGUUUUUCUCCUUUUCUCUUUUUCUCUUUUGUAAUUGAUGAUAAUUCAGUGAAUAUACUGCGCUGCUUCCUUUUAUUGCGUCACACAUUGCUUUAAGUUUUUCAGUGUCCAGUUAUUUUUUUACUGCUGUUUGAAUUCUCUGAAUGUUUGACCCUGUAGACUGUUUGAGGGACUGCUUGUCUUCCUGUUUGUAACUGCCACCUGUUUUUGA